rnacentral:tRNA from 1 species
GAGCGCAUCGUCUAAAUGGAAGGACACCGGCUUAUCGUGCCGGAAAUUCAGGUUCAAUUCCUGCUGCGCUCCCA